UGUUUGUGUUAAAAUGGUAUUGCAUUUCGUCUUCCUACUGGAAAUAAUUGUCAUUAGAUUUCAAAGUACGUUUGGUGUUAUUGCAAGUCUUCGGUUUUUAGGCAUGAUCAUGUUGGCGCGUUUUCUUAUUGUUCGCUGGCUUAUUGUUCGCUAGCUUGAUUCAUCUUAUUGUUCGCUGGCUUAUUGUUCGCUAGCUUGAGUCUGGUCGUUUUCUCUGCAUUUAUAAACUCUGGCUUAUAAUUCAUUGCAAUUACAUAUACAUAGUGACUUUUCAUGUGCAUUCCAACAUACUUCUGAUAAAUGAUUUUAAUCAAAUAUAUAAUGCGACUUUUUUUUAAUAUUUUUCAUGUGACUUUUUUCCGUUUGCCAGUAGUGCAUUGGUUGUCGUUGGUACAUGUAUGUCAUAUUUGUUUUUUGUAAAUUGCUUUGCUUCAAAUUAGAUAUUUAGUUUUUUUUAAAUCGAAUUGAUUCAUUUUUUUUCAAGUCGAGGCAUUGUAGCCUACUAGCUAACAAUACAGUAUGGGUUUUUGUUAUUGUUGAAGACUGUGCUGUUGCCUAGUAUGCUUUAAUCCACAGAAUUUAAACUUUGG
rnacentral:lncRNA from 1 species